GUCAGGAUGGCCGAGUGGUCUAAGGCGCCAGACUCAAGUUCUGGUUCUCAUGAGAGGGCGUGGGUUCAAAUCCCACUUCUGACA
rnacentral:tRNA from 1 species